CUCUCUCUCAGCGAAAAUCCACAGAACGUCGAUGAGGCUUUUCAUCAAGUCACACGAGCGAUCAGGAAGUUCAAGGAGAUGGAAUCCCCGCCAAGCCCCUCCCACCCCGGCUCCAAGCGCAAUGGCGACGGCUGCCCCUGCGUUCUGCUGUAACCGUGGCAACACCCACCCCAGCCCCUGCCUAGCAACACUCCCGUUACCGUGGCAAUCUCUCCAAUGCUCUGGGUUCCUGUCUCCACGACAACCGAAUGAAUGAUGGGCUGGUGGAGGGGGGGGGUGCUGCCGUAGCAACCAAAGCAUCACCACAGCAACAGCUGCAGAGAGUGACGAUCGACCGGAUCUCUAGAGAGGAAACCGCUUCGAUUUCUCUUGAAUUGAUUCAAUUUUCUAUCUUUUUGUCGUCUUUCUGAAAACGGUUGAGUAAAUAAAUACAUAAAUAAAUAAACGACGUUUUAAUCGCA